rnacentral:rRNA from 1 species
UACGUAGGGGGCAAGCGUUGUCCGGAAUUAUUGGGCGUAAAGCGCGCGCAGGCGGUCUUUUAAGUCUGGUGUAUAAGUGCGGGGCUCAACCCCGUGAGGCACUGGAAACUGGGAGACUUGAGUGCAGAAGAGGAGAGCGGAAUUCCACGUGUAGCGGUGAAAUGCGUAGAGAUGAUGGAGGAACACCAGUGGCGAAGGCGGCUCUCUGGACUGUAACUGACGCUGAGGCGCGGAAAGCGUGGGGAGCAAACAGG